rnacentral:rRNA from 1 species
AACAGCUGCGGUAUUUUAACUGUACUAAGGUAGCAUAAUAAUUUGCCUUAUAAUUUGAGGCUAGAAUGAAUGGUUUGACGAAGGUUAAUCUGUCUCUAUUUUACUUUUUAGAAAUUAAUUUUCAUAGUGAAAAGGCUUGAAUUUUUUAAAGGGACGAGAAGACCCUAUUGAGCUUGUAAUUUUAUUAUUAUUAGUAUUAUUUAUUCUUAUUGGUAGUAUAUAAAUUUUAAUUGGGGUGAUUAAGGAAUAAGGUUUGUAGUUUUAGUAACUUCCUUAUUAAUAAUGAUUGUUAAAUAAAGUAACCAAUAUUAUUGCUUAUACUAUAGUUACCAUAGGGAUAACAGCGUAAUUUAUUUAGAGAGUUCUUAUUGAAAAAUAAGAUUGCGACCUCGAUGUUGGAUUAAAGUAACCUUAAGGUGCAGAAGCUUUAAUAAGGUAAAUCUGUUCGAUUUUUAAAACUUUACGUGAUCUAGUUC